UACGGAGGGUGCAAGCGUUGUUCGGAAUCACUGGGCGUAAAGCGCGUGUAGGCGGCUAUCUAAGUCUGAUGUGAAAUCCCGGAGCUCAACUCCGGAACUGCCUCUGAUACAGCACGUCUUGAGUUCGAGAGAGGUGGGUGGAAUUCCUAGUGUAGAGGUGAAAUUCGUAGAUAUUAGGAAGAACACCGGUGGCGAAGGCGGCCCACUGGCUCGAUACUGACGCUGAGGUGCGAAAGCGUGGGGAGCAAACAGG
rnacentral:rRNA from 1 species